GAAAAAAAAAAACAACUAAAUGCAUAUACUAUAUAUUUGUAACAAAACGUAGAAAGUAAAAGUAUAAAUAUUCCUAAUGAACUUCUUUACUUAUAUUGAAUAUUCACAGUACAAUAUCCUGAAAUAAUAACAAAACAAACUAAGAUAAAUACAAAUAUAGUUUUUAACAAUUUAAAAUAAAACAACAACUUAGUUCCCUUUUAAUGGAUUGUUAAAUUUGAAAUGAAACGACAAUAAAACUGAACAUCAUUCUUCAAAAUUUUUAUCAAACUGAAAAUGACUAAGUUGCUUUUGAAGCCAACAGAAUCUGGUCGGUCGAGUUCAGUCAUUUUGGACAGCUUUGAAAUUUUUUGCUUAGCUCUUACUGCAUGUAAUGUUCAUUAGAUAUGAAAGACAAUUUCAACUGCACUUUGGUAUACUUGCUGAGCUCCAUUGAAAUAUCAUGCCUCUAGUGAUAGCUGUUUUGGAGGAAGCAAAAUAUUCUGGAGUCUGGACUCCUCCCCUCCUGCUGGGAAAGGUGGAUUGUACUAACCCAUUUGGUUAGGUGUACGAGGAUUUGCUGCAUGAUCUUUUCUUGCAGUUUCCAAACCAAAAUUGUUAGGGGUCCCUUAAUGCAACUUUAAAAUUGAAAUUAAUAAGUUUAAACAUGGGCAAUAUUGAUGUGUAGCCCCCCGGAAGAACCCUGAUAGAGUUAGGAGUACAACCAAAUGAAAUAAACAACUUCAAAUGGCUCUCCAGAGAUUCAGAGAACUCUGGCCCAGCAAGUAUGCUGUUACAAUAAGAAGUCACUCAAGCAUGCUCUUACUCUAUUGUUUAAUACUGUAUAAUUUUCUUUUCUGCACAUGCUAUUUCUUUUGGCAUUCAGUUACUGGCCAGCUUGCUCCAACUCAUCCCUCCUAGGACCUUCCUUCUUGCUACUACAAGCUCCUGCUGGGUCUUUCUCUGUCUCCAUUUCUUCCUCUGCAUUCCACCAGGUCCAGGCCCAUCUUUCUU
rnacentral:misc_RNA from 1 species